GCCUAUGGUUAUCUGAUUGGCACACCGUAACUGCUCUAUUUCGUGCAUUUACACUUAAGCCUCUAAUAAUAGUUCUUUGAAAAGCACUGUCUUGUAUUUAACUGAUGAUUGGCUCCAGCAAUUAAAUCCUACCACACUUUAGAAUGCUGGACUAUUCUGCUGCUUCCCAGAGUUGGAAAGAAAGGAGUUGACUCACAUCUUACCCAUCUCACUCCAGGUCAGCAAUGGCACUGGAGGCAGUGCUGGGGAUACUGAGGAUAUUGCUGUUUUGAGUGGCAUGUGUUUGCUCUGGAGAAAACAUUCCAGAUGGUAUUUCUGGAAGAACUAGGGAUACAACAGAGAACACAACAGAUAAAGUCACCACUCUCAUGUGGCAUAUAUUCCAGCGGGGAGGAGCAGACCGACAGCAGAAUGGGUCAACGUAAGGAACGGCAGAUAACGGGCUGGACGAACUGAAGAAAGAUGAACUCGGGCAGCAGCCAAGAACUGAGAGGAGGGGGUCAGCAGAUUCCCUAACUUCUCUCCUCCGCUACCUCUUGGAGUUUAUGUCCUCAUUUCAAUUAAACAAGCCUUUGUUAAAACCUUAGCCCUCUGUGCUCAGCCCUCUACUGGGACAUUUUUAAAAUGAAUUUUGUAUUAAAGGAGACAGGACUUUAGGUCUUUUCACUUCAACCAGGUACUGCCAGAAUAUUGCACUAUACAUGAAUCAGAAAGUGAGUUCACCUUAAUAAGCUCACCCAAUUUUAUACAAAAGCUAUUUGUCAGAGAGAAGUCGACAUUGG
rnacentral:lncRNA from 1 species